rnacentral:rRNA from 1 species
UACGGAGGGUGCAAGCGUUAAUCGGAAUUACUGGGCGUAAAGGGUGCGUAGGUUGUUGAUUAAGUUAUCUGUGAAAUCCCUGGGCUUAACCUGGGGCGGUCAGAUAAGACUGAUUGACUCGAGUAUGGGAGAGGGUAGUGGAAUUUCCGGUGUAGCGGUGAAAUGCGUAGAGAUCGGAAGGAACACCAGUGGCGAAGGCGGCUACCUGGCCUAAUACUGACACUGAGGCACGAAAGCGUGGGGAGCAAACAGG